GACGAACCGUGCGAACGUUGUUCGGAAUCACUGGGCUUAAAGGGCGCGUAGGCGGCUUCGCAAGUCAGGGGUGAAAUCUUUCGGCUCAACCGGAAAAGUGCCUCUGAUACUGCGGAGCUCGAGGGAGGUAGGGGCAGACGGAACUUCCGGUGGAGCGGUGAAAUGCGUUGAUAUCGGAAGGAACGCCGGUGGCGAAAGCGGUCUGCUGGCCCUCUACUGACGCUGAGGCGCGAAAGCCAGGGGAGCAAACAGG
rnacentral:rRNA from 1 species